GAAUAUUGCAAAAUGGGCGAAAGCCCGAUGCAGCAACGCCGCGUGGGCGAUGAAGGUCUUCGGGUCGUAAAGCCCUUUUUGAGGGGAUGAGGAAGGACAGUACCCUCAGAAUAAGCCUCGGCUAACUACGUGCCAGCAGCCGCGGUAAAACGUAGGAGGCGAGCGUUAUCCGGCUUUACUGGGCGUAACGCGCGUGCAGGCGGAUUGGAGAGUUGGAUGUGAAAGCUCCCGGCUUAACUGGGAGAGGUCGUUCAAUACUUCCAGUCUUGGGUGCGUUAGAGGAGAGUAGAAUUCCUGUUUUAGUGGUGAAAUGCGUAGAUAUCCGGAGGAACACCAGUGGCGAAAGCGGCUUCCUGGACUGUAACUGCCGCUCAGACGCGAAA
rnacentral:rRNA from 1 species